GUGUGAGUUUGAUUCUUGCUUUACCCCUAUUUGUUAGUUAAUUCACAUGUGAAAUAUAUUAUAAGUAGUUUGUUAAUAAUAAAUUUAAGCUAUUUGUUUCUCAGUGUAAAGUGUUAAUUAAUAAGUGAAAGCUUGAAUUAGUAAAUUAAUAAAAUUCAGGCUAAAUUUGUGCCAGCAGCUGCGGUUAGACUGAUAGUGUAAAUAGGGGAUUUUAAGUUAAACAAUUAGGAGAAUUAUUAAUGUAAAAUUUAAUUAUGUUGAUAAAAGGUGAAAUUUGGUGUCUAUAUUUAAUUAAGUUUUAGGUUAAUAGAUUUUAAGGUUGUGAAAGUUAAGGUUUAAACCAGGAUUAGAUACCCUGUUAUACUUAAUAGAAAUUUGAUUAUACUUGAGUAGUAAUCAGUUAUGGUCUUGAAACUUAAAGAAUUUGGCGGUAUUUUAGUCUAGUUAGAGGAACCUGUUCUAUAAACGAUAAACCGCGAAUUAUCUUACUCUUUUUAGUAGAAUCAGUUUGUAUACCGUCAUUAUUAGAUAAUCUUUAUAAAGAAUUAUUAAAAUAAAUAGUUUUAAUAUAUUAGAUCAAGGUGCAGCUUAUAGAAGAGAAAGCAAUGGGUUACAAUAAUAUAAAUUUAUUACGGAGUUAAAGUGUAAGUGUUUUAAUAAAGGUGGAUUUAAUAGUAGUUUUGUUUUAAUAUGACAAAAUGAUAAAAGCUCUAGAAUAUGUACACAUCGCCCGUCGCUCUCACUUUAACGUGAGAUAAGUCGUAACAUAGUAGGUGUAUUGGAAAAUGUACCUAGAAAU
rnacentral:ncRNA from 1 species